UUCCGACCCGCACGAAAGGCGUAACGAUUUGGACACUGUCUCGGAGAGGGACUCGGCGAAAUAGACAUGUCUGUGAAGAUGCGGACUACCUGCACCUGGACAGAAAGACCCUAUGAAGCUUUACUGUAGCUUGAGAUUGACUUCGGGCUUUAUUUGCGCAGGAUAGGUGGGAGGCUAAGAGCAUACUUUUAUGGAAGUAUAGGAGCCGAUGGUGAGAUACCACUCUUGUAAAGCUAG
rnacentral:rRNA from 1 species